AUCCGACGCUCGGAAUAGGGAAAGUGCAAGUGAACUGAAUUUUCUGGAAGGUACAUUUAAAGGAGCCGGUAGAAAAGGAGAGGUAGUGCGGGCGCUGUUCCUCCUUGCUCCUUAUCUCGUUGCUCAGGAAAGGGGGCGGAUCGCGGAGCCUCCUGGAGCUUGUCGAGUGUAGCUGAGACCGGGGAGGACUGGUCAGGGCCUCCUGCAGAAUGAACCACAAGAGCAAGAAGCGGAUUCGGGAGGCGAAGCGCAGCGCGCGGCCGGAGCUGAAAGACUCCUUAGACUGGACCCGGCACAACUACUUCGAGAGCUUCUCGCUGAACCCCGCCACGGUAGCGGAUAACGUGGAAAGAGUAGAUGCUCUGCUGCUCUCUGUAGAGGAAUUCGUGGAGCGCUACGAGAGGCCCUACAAGCCUGUCGUCCUGCUGAAAGCCCAGGAGGGCUGGUCUGCCCAAGAAAAAUGGACUCUGGAGCGCCUGAAACGCAAAUACAGGAACCAGAAGUUCAAAUGUGGGGAGGAUAACGAUGGCUAUUCCGUGAAGAUGAAGAUGAAGUACUACAUUGAAUACAUGGAGAGCACCCGAGAUGACAGUCCCCUUUACAUCUUUGAUAGCAGCUAUGGGGAGCACCCCAAGAGGAAAAAACUUUUGGAGGAUUAUAAGGUUCCCAAAUUUUUCACAGAUGACCUGUUCCAGUACGCAGGAGAAAAGCGCAGGCCACCUUACAGGUGGUUUGUGAUGGGGCCACCACGAUCUGGAACAGGAAUUCACAUUGAUCCCUUGGGUACCAGUGCAUGGAAUGCCUUAGUACAAGGACACAAACGAUGGUGCCUCUUUCCUACCAGUACUCCUAGGGAACUUAUAAAGGUGACUCGUGAUGAAGGUGGAAAUCAGCAAGAUGAAGCUAUUACGUGGUUCAAUACCAUUUAUCCCCGAACACAACUUCCAACUUGGCCACCAGAAUUCAAACCCUUAGAAAUCUUACAGAGACCAGGAGAGACUGUCUUUGUACCAGGAGGUUGGUGGCAUGUUGUUCUCAACCUUGAUACUACUAUUGCCAUCACCCAAAACUUUGCCAGCAGCACUAAUUUCCCUGUUGUGUGGCACAAGACAGUAAGAGGAAGACCAAAGUUAUCAAGGAAGUGGUACAGAACAGAUACAGCACGGGCAGCGGCAGUGCAAGCCACCCCCGUGCCACUGUGUCCCAACCCUGACCUGGAGGGACCAGCACUCGGGGAUUUUGAAGCAAGAACACCCUGAGCUGGCAGUACUUGCUGAUUCUGUUGAUCUCCAGGAGUCCACAGGCAUUGCCUCUGACAGUUCUAGUGACUCCUCUAGUUCUUCCAGCUCUAGCUCAUCCGAUUCAGAUUCUGAGUGUGAAUCUGGCUCUGAAGCUGAUGGGACAGUGCAUAGGAGGAAAAAGCGGAGGACCUGCAGUAUGAUGGGCAAUGGUGAUGCCACCUCUCAGGAUGAUUGUGUGAGCAAAGAGCGAAGCUCCUCCAGGUGACCAAGGGGGAUUGCUGUUCAUUUUAAAGGACAUGCUCACACUGAGCUGACAGGGUGAGGUAGGGAGUCCCAUUGGAUCCUGCAGAUGAGUUGAGUGACAAAGAAUGCCAGACAACAAGAACUGUCCUCAAAUGUGAAUCCGUUUGCUUGCCAGUUGAUUUAAAUGGCCUUCUCCACCAAAUCAAAUUAACUUGGUUUGUUCUACAAAAGAAGAUAAGAAUCGCUGUCUGAAUGGUGCCAAGAAAAACAUUUGCAUUAUUUAAUAAAAAUGGAAUCCGUUUUAUAACUUUCAAAUGUUUCUUGCCUUUAGUCUAUCAGAACCUUCCCCUGGUGCUCUUUUGUCAUGGUACUGGAGGAGUGUUGACUUGAGAUUUGUUUCCUCCCUUCUGCUGCUGGAAUUUACAAGUCCUUAGUACUUAUGGAAAGAAACCAGACAAAUGAGGGAUUGGGGAAGUUUCUCACUUUGGCUGCUCUACUGCUAUCUUAACAUCCCCCUCCUCCCUUCCCAAUACCUUGUCUGCCAGCAGCAAUAUCAGCUGCUUCACAUGAGAAAAGAAGCAGUUCACAGUCUUCAGACCUUUAAUUAUGUAAAGUCAUAAUUUGAAAUAAAAUGAUUCUUUCUUUGUAUAUCAUGGAAAUAGUAAAGUCCUUUUCCUCUUGUGCAGCUCAAAAUAUGCUGAUAUUAAAAGUCAUUCUUGGCAGUUUUGGAAGGAUUGGGAAGCAUGUUAGAGUCAAAAUGUUUUGUUUCUAAAUGUCUAUAGCUUUUGUCACUGAAAUGCUUUUUGCCAGUGAGAUCUUUGCCAUUUGUUUUAUUUUUUUGCCUAAAUUAAAAACUCUAGAGGUCACACAUUUAUCUUAUUUUCAGUUGGCUGGAACUCCAUGAUAAAGUUGGCCUUUUAAAAAUUAGGUGAAAAUUUAUUGUGAUAAGUUUCUUCAGUCAGCCUGGUCACAUUUUGUCAUAAUCAAAAAUUAAUUGCAUAGCUGUCCCUUUUGUAAUCUUAUACCUCUUCCUUCCGACCUUAUUAUGCUUUGAGCCAUGCUAAAAUUGUAAUUAAUUUAUUAUUUUGAGCACUUUAUUAUAUUUAUUAAUUUGUAACAUGGUUAGUCCCAUCUCCCAAUCCAGACUUUGAGAAGUCUAAGCUUUUACUUAAGUACUUAUGAUUUAGGGUAUUCUGUAAUUAGCAUCUCUUUUAGCUUUUCUCAAAUUUGUGUUGUCAACAUACUGAUUUAGGCAGUUGUACUUGGCAGGAUUAGGGAAACUUUUGGAGGCUGUGCUCAUCCCUGAGCAGUAAAGAGACUCGUCUAGAGGUGGCUACAGUGUUAGUAGCCACCUAAUCCGGUUUUCACCUCCUCUGCUUCUGCCUAUUCCUUAAUCUUUGAAUCUGGACAGCUCAUUUCUGGUCCAAGCUUCUGCUUCCAUCAAAUGCUGCUUAAAGGGUGAGAAAUCUAAGAUUAAGAAGCCUAAAAGCUUCAUGAAUUCUCAAGACUUAAUAUGGUAUUGGGUAAGAAGGUUCAAUACUUUCUUUUCCAUUACUUAAGGAGGAUAAAAAUGAUUUGUUUAAAGACAAAUAGGGUUGCUAAUUGUUUCAUUUACAGCUUUAUAUUUAAUCAUGUAUCAGUAAGGAAACUUCCUUAACUGUUAGUGAAGGUAAAUAGAGAUACCAAUUUUCAGGUGAUUAUUGAAUGAAUAAAUUUCUUUUUGAGAAAGCAUUUUUGUUAAUUUACUGAAUCGCAGAUAGAGAUCAAGCCAACAAAAUUUUGCUCCAUCUUUAGUAACACCUUAACCCUCCUGCCAAAAAAUCCCAUAUUUAUGUGAGCUGGAAUCUGACUAUUUUUUUCAUUUGAUGCUUCAAGUAUUUUGGAGAACAUUUUCAUACAGUUGCAAUGCAACACCAAUAUGUUACUUUGGAACUAACCAUCAGGUUCCAUCUUUCCCCUCUGCUGAUUCAUCUAUUUGCCUUAACCUGUCCUCUCUGUGUGUAAAAAUAGUGUAAGAAACGAGGAAAGGAGAAUGAGGCAAUAAAAGGAGCCAUUUGGCCCAAUAAUAGCUACUCUACGUGUUAAUGUAAGAAUUUUUGUUUUGAAAUAUCUGUUCACAAAAUGUUUCCAAUGUCAGUGGAGUUUUUCUGUAUGUUAGCAUUAUCUGCUUUCAUUUAAAAAAAAAAAAAAAAAAAAAACUUUCUAUAAGUUUUGAAGAGUUUGAAGGCUUUUCAGCACUUGGGAACUAGUUAGUAAAUUCACUGUAAAAUAUUAGAUUGUAAUUGUCUUAAUUACUUUUGGACUUUUUGGAAAUACUAUUGGACUACUCUGGCUUUUUCUGAGGAUGAUCAUCUUUUCCUUUGUAAGCUUAGUUCUUUUGUUAUAGUGCUUUUUGAUGAACAGUUUCUGAAACGGGGAUGGAUUCCAGUGGAUACUGUUUCAUGUUAAGAAAUGAGGGAAUUGAUAUAUCAUCCUGCAAGCUGCAUUGUACCUGUGCUCCAAGACAUGGUGUGCUCCUGCAGUCCCUUCUGGUUACAUGGAAUAUACUGCAGUAUCCAGGGAUGUCAACUGUGAAUGUUUGUGGAUAGAGUAACUCAUUGGGCAUUUAAACUGACUUUGUAUUUAAUAUCUGGUAACGCUCUUAUAUUCCAUAAACAAUACCUUGUUUCCACA